GGAAUUUUGGGCAAUGGGCGAAAGCCUGACCCAGCAACGCCGCGUGAAGGAUGAAGUAUUUCGGUAUGUAAACUUCGAAAGUAUGGGAAGAAUAAAUGACGGUACCAUUUAUACGCUCCGGCUAACUACGUGCCAGCAGCCGCGGUAAUACGUAGGGAGCAAGCGUUGUUCGGAGUUACUGGGCGUAAAGGGGGCGUAGGCGGCGUGUUAAGUCAGCUGUGAAAUCUCCAUGCUUACCUUGGAACGGCCAGCUGAUACUGAUGUGCUAGAGUGCAGAAGGGGCAAUCGGAAUUCUUGGUGUAGCGGUGAAAUGCGUAGAUAUCAAGAGGAACACCUGAGGUGAAGACGGGUUGCUGGGCUGACACUGACGCUGAGGCGCGAAAGCCAGGGGAGCAAAC
rnacentral:rRNA from 1 species